UGGAAACAGAGGACAUGGGAAGGACAUGGUGAGAACCUCAUUAAACUGGGACAAGAAGUUGUCAGAGGAACUUGGGUCCUUCUGGUUUCUGGUAAUCACCGCUGUUCUCGUCAGGGAAGCUCUGAUCUUCACCUGGAGCAUCACUUCCUGACUCCAAUGCAGAUCCCUCAGCCUGUUGGCACAAAUCCUUCACCCUGCAAGUGCAGCCU
rnacentral:lncRNA from 1 species